rfam:Pterocles gutturalis contig69078, whole genome shotgun sequence.
CCAAAGGCUCUUUUAAGAGCCCCCCCAGUUUCCUAGAAAGAGCUG